rnacentral:rRNA from 1 species
UACGAAGGGGGCUAGCGUUGUUCGGAUUUACUGGGCGUAAAGCGCACGUAGGCGGGUCGUUAAGUCAGGGGUGAAAUCCCGGAGCUCAACUCCGGAACUGCCUUUGAUACUGGCGACCUUGAGGCUGGAAGAGGUUAGUGGAAUUCCCAGUGUAGAGGUGGAAUUCGUAGAUAUUAGGAAGAACACCAGUGGCGAAGGCGGCUAACUGGUCCAGAUCUGACGCUGAGGUGCGAAAGCGUGGGGAGCAAACAGG